CCUAUCGUCUCACGGGGGUGUGUUAUUGGGGCACUAGUGCGCAGAAGCCCCGAAUAUAUCCGACUACUCGUGCAGCUCUCCCCACCAACCCGUUUUAACCCCUCGGAAAUAAGGGGUGGUUCCCCAAGAAUCCUCUCGAUUACAUUUCGUGUCGGGGCUCGGAUCGCGAACUAUUCAGUUUCUAUUCGUCCUCCGAAGCGAAACGUUGUCGUCGUCUUUCCUCAUCUGGUCCUUCGUGGUCGUGCCCAUUUUUUUUUCCAUCUGUCUCACACUCCCUCUCUCUCUCUCUCUCUCUCUCUCUCUCUCUAUCUUUAUUUCUUUCUUUCUAUUUAUUAAUCUUAUCACAUCGUCUUCGUUUUUGAACGUUUUCAUCAUCGUGCAUACACACUCAUGCAUAUAUAUACAUACAUAGAUACACAGAUACAACACAUUCGUGAUAAAUCCAUGGAACUAAUCGGACAUUCGAAUACUCGUGGGGACUCGUGUCGUGUUUUUCAACCAAUCGGUGAUACUUUAAUUCGCGCUUUUGAUUUUGAUAUCACGUUGAAGAAUUAUCUUUGUGUUUUGAAGUUAUACUUAUUUUUGUUCUUUUAAUUUUUCUGUUUUCUCUCUCUCUCUCUCUUUCAUUAUUUAUUUUUCGUGAAUUUAAUAUACGUGGAUAAAUACUCGUAUUAUAUAUCUGGUGUGGUAUUGCAAGUGGACACAUCAUAAUGUUGUAUACCAUAAGACUUUAUGAAUUAAUUAUAACAUACUUUGAGUUUAAAUUCAGACGUUGAGAAGAAGCUUACGUAAAGAGCAUUUACAUAUAUACUGCCAACAGAAGCCAGCAGGCAGUGUCUUCUCUAACUAUGAAUACUGAAAAUAAUUUCGUCUAUAUUAAAAGUUUAUACGAGAAGUUUAAGAAUAUUCUUGACACAUCCUUGUUCCUUCAUUGCUGGUUACUUCGUGCUAUGUGAUUCAACUUUAAUCAAGAAGUUUGUUAAAUGAUCAAAACCAUCACACCGACCUCGAUAAUUACGAUGACAACCAUAUUCAAUCCCGGUUAAACUACUACAUGCAUAGGAUACUUCGACAUGUUCAUUCGUAUCGAACGAAAAAAAAGCUUCAAAUAGACGAGAAAACACAGCACAGAUCAACAUAACGAGAAGAAAUACGAAGAUGUUGAAGGAAACUCAUGCUAUUCCUUUCGAGCAGAAAAUAUUUCUAAAGAAAUGGGGGAAUAGCGAUUACAAAACGCCAGGAUGAAGAUGAAUCGAUCGAGGAAGAAGAUGCAACGAACCGAUUAUUAAGAUUAGGUGCACCAAUGAAAAGUGUCAUCCGUCCUUGUUCGAAUCGCAACGUGCCUUACUUUCGACCAUCACCAAUCCGGUCACGAGAUGAUUUUCACUUUGCGAAAAACAGCCUGUUUAAGUUUAAUUAUUAUUACUUUUUUUUCCCUUUUCUUUUUUUUUUUUUUUUUUUCGUUGAAACACACCUUUCGAAACCAUCUUGAAGAAGAAGAAAAAAGAAAUUGAAAUAAUAACAUUGGACAAGGGAAAGAAAUGUGAUUGCUGUUCGAAGUUUACAUUGAUUAUGCGAAACGUUGCAUCAAUUUGCAUUUGAAUAUCAAGAGGAAAAAAAAGGAAUGUAUCGAUGAAUAAAACCUUCCAUACUCUAUUGUUCCUACUUAAUGGGGGAAUUCAACACAAACACAUCGAAGAAUCGAAGAAUUUACGAUGGAUGAAUGAUAUCGAAAGGGUUUUUUUUUUUCUCUAUGGUAUUCAAGAUGAUUAAUUUUACUAUGUGAUCACGUUACCAAUCCCUUUUCCUCUCAAUUCCCCAUAGUCCUAAACCGAUAGUUAUUCCAUAUAAACUGUCGAUGUACACUACACUAUUAAUUUUUCUUAACGUUUAACAAAAUUUUUCGUUUAAACAAAUUGUCUUUGAUAUAUUUUGGUGCUAUGAUAAUACAAUGUUUAAUUACAAAUAUGAUAACGUAUUAUCCGAAAAUAUAAAACAUUCUAAAUUCGGAUAAGAUCAAUUUUCUAUAGAGAACACGCGUGCAAAUUUAUUAUCAAAGACACAUUUAACAAAACACGCACACAUUUUUCAUCGUUAAUUAUCGAUUUAAUUUUUUUCUUUUUUUUUCGUAUUUUAAACAACGACAUGAGUACUUUUUUUUUUUUUUUUCCUCAUCGAUGAUAAUAAUACCACGGUCAAUUUUAAUUAAAAAAAAAAAACAAUUUUAAACAUUUAUAAAAGCUUUAUAUACGUAUGAACAAUUUUUGAUUUACAAGUACAGGCAGUAUGUAACAAAAAAAAAAAAGAAUAAUAUAAAGAAAGAAAGAAAAAGAGAAAAAAAAACAUAAUACUCUCUAAUGGUGUGCCAUGAUGUUCGAGAGAUAUUUAAGAAAAAAAAAA